rnacentral:ncRNA from 1 species
GUAUUGUAUGAAAGGAGAGAAGGUUAGCACUACCCUUGAUAAUAAAGGAAGACUUCAUCGUGGUCUUUUACACCGCAUGUACGGUGAAGGCAUUACCAUUGCCACCUAUUGUCUGGAAUCUAACAAUUUUAUUGU